UGAGGAAUAUUGGUCAAUGGGCGAGAGCCUGAACCAGCCAAGUAGCGUGCAGGAUGACGGCCCUAUGGGUUGUAAACUGCUUUUGUAUGGGGAUAAAGUCAAUCACGUGUGAUUGUUUGCAGGUACCAUACGAAUAAGGACCGGCUAAUUCCGUGCCAGCAGCCGCGGUAAUACGGAAGGUCCGGGCGUUAUCCGGAUUUAUUGGGUUUAAAGGGAGCGUAGGCUGGAGAUUAAGUGUGUUGUGAAAUGUAGACGCUCAACGUCUGACUUGCAGCGCAUACUGGUUUCCUUGAGUACGCACAACGUUGGCGGAAUUCGUCGUGUAGCGGUGAAAUGCUUAGAUAUGACGAAGAACUCCGAUUGCGAAGGCAGCUGACGGGAGCGCAACUGACGCUGAAGCUCGAAGGUGCGGGUAUCGAACAGGAUUAGAUACCCUGGUAGUCCGCACAGUAAACGAUGGAUGCCCGCUGUUGGUACCUGGUAUCAGCGGCUAAGCGAAAGCAUUAAGCAUCCCACCUGGGGAGUACGCCGGCACGGU
rnacentral:rRNA from 1 species